rnacentral:rRNA from 1 species
CCAGCAGCUGCGGUAAUUCCAGCUCCAAUAGCGUAUAUUUAAGUUGCUGCAGUUAAAAAGCUCGUAGUCGGUUUUCGGGCGGGCUGCGCCGGUCUGCCUUUGGUAUGCACUGGCGUGACCCGCUUUUCUGUCGGGGACGGGCUCCUGGGCUUCACUGUCCGGGACCCGGAGUCGACGCUGUUACCUUGAGUAAAUUGGAGUGUUCAAAGCAGGCAUACGCUCUGAACAUAUUAGCAUGGAAUAACGAUAUAGGACUCUGGCCUAUUUCGUUGGUCUGUGGGACCGGAGUAACGACCAAUGGGGGCAGUCGGGGGCAUUCGUAUUUCGUUGUCAGAGGUGAAAUUCUUGGA